rnacentral:rRNA from 1 species
UACGUAGGGUGCAAGCGUUAAUCGGAAUUACUGGGCGUAAAGCGUGCGCAGGCGGUGAUGUAAGACAGUUGUGAAAUCCCCGGGCUCAACCUGGGAACUGCAUCUGUGACUGCAUCGCUGGAGUACGGGUAGAGGGGGAUGGAAUUCCGCGUGUAGCAGUGAAAUGCGUAGAUAUGCGGAGGAACACCGAUGGCGAAGGCAAUCCCCUGGACCUGUACUGACGCUCAUGCACGAAAGCGUGGGGAGCA